UUUUAGUGAGCCAAGCCAUAGCGGUUGAUCGUCAGACCGAUGUUUGCCAUAGGUGUUGAGCAGUGCAUGUGCUUC
rnacentral:antisense_RNA from 4 species